ACUAUUUUGACAGAUUUAAUGUAUUAAUUUUAGGAAUUAAUUAUAUAUGUUUACUUAACAUAUAAGUAGUA
rnacentral:tRNA from 1 species